rnacentral:misc_RNA from 1 species
CCGCGUCUUCCUGCUCAGCUCUCGUACCGCGUGCCGCCAUUGGAUUGGACCUUCAGUAACUCUUAGUUCGACAUUAGAAGCAGUACCUGCAGUGUCCACAUUUUUACAGGGAAGAAUUAGUUUCAGAGUAUUACACUGGUUGCGAGUGCUGAUAGUGGGUGCUGAAUCACCGAUUGUCAACAAUUGACAGAAAGUUUAUGGCAAGAGGCAAAGACACUGCCAGAAUGGGUAAGCAAAAGAACAAGAGACCCCCAAGUGACAAAAGUGAAUCCGAUUCAGAUUCAAGCUCUGAAGCUAAAUAUGAACCACCACCAAAGAUGCCAAAAUCAGGUGCCUCA